rnacentral:rRNA from 1 species
CCUACGGGAGGCUGCAGUGGGGAAUAUUGCACAAUGGGGGAAACCCUGAUGCAGCGACGCCGCGUGAGUGAAGAAGUAAUUCGUUAUGUAAAGCUCUAUCAGCAGGGAAGAAAAUGACGGUACCUGAGUAAGAAGCUCCGGCUAACUACGUGCCAGCAGCCGCGGUAAUACGUAGGGGGCAAGCGUUAUCCGGAUUUACUGGGUGUAAAGGGAGCGUAGACGGCAUGGCAAGUCUGGAGUGAAAGGCGGGGGCUCAACCCCCAGACUGCUAUGGAAACUGUAAGGCUGGAGUGCAGGGGAGGUAAGUGGAAUUCCUGGUGGAGCGGUGAAAUGCGUAGAUAUUAGGAAGAACACCAAUGGCGAAGGCAGCUUACUGGACUGUCACUGACGUUGAGGCUCGAAAGCGUGGGGAGCAAACAGGAUUAGAUACCCUAGUAGUC